GAUGAAGAACGCAGCGAAAUGCGAAAAGUAAUGUGAAUUGCAGAAUUCAGUGAAUCAUCGAAUCUUUGAACGCACAUUGCGCCCGCCAGUAUUCUGGCGGGCAUGCCUGUCUGAGCGUCAUUUCAACCCUCACGCCCCUAGGGCGUGGUGUUGGGGAUCGGCCAAGGCCCGCAAGGGACGGCCGGCCCCUAAAUCUAGUGGCGGACCCAUCGUGGCCUCCCCUGCGAAGUAGUAAUAUAUUCCGCAUCGGAUAGCGAUGAGCCCCUGCCGUUAAACCCCCAACUCUUUCAAGGUUAACCUCAGAUCAGGUAGGAAUACCCGCUGAACUUAAGCAUAUCAAUAAGCGGAGGA
rnacentral:misc_RNA from 1 species